UGUUGUUUCGGAGUCCGGGUAAGCCAAUUGUCACCUUUUAUGGUAAACGGGAGGUUCUCCCAUCUUGCAUAAUCUCAGCUUUAACUACUAAGAAGAUGUUGAGUAAGGGUUGCCAGCUUUAACUACUAAAUGAGAAAAAAAAAUGUUGCAAAAUUUUGACACUCAUUUGUAAUUUGUUUAAUGCUACAUUGUGUGGACUCAGAGAAGAUAUGUUGGGAUUGAAAAGACAGGGAACGAUACAGCCUGGCCAUUCUGGUCUAAGUCAGCUAAAGCCCUUUUAUUUUUUUCUUUUUCUUGGAAGAGUUCUGGCAUAUUUUUCUAACUGUCUAUAUAUCUCUUUUUGCCUGCUCAAUCAAAGCUAAAUUGUAGGUUCAUGACGUUAUUUACGUUCCUUCAAAUCAUUAUUCUUUCAUGACUUUCCAGCUAGAGGAUUAUUUUCAUGCUUAUGAAAAUCUAAUUCUAAGAUUAUUCUUAUAAGUUCCGAUAACUCGUCUAAAGGCACCAUCUAGGGAUGGAUUGCUCAAGCAUGUUGCUCAAGAUUUGUAAAGUUGACAAAGGAUGUACUUGAAAGAAGAGGCUUUAAGGAAUCCAGCUUCUUGAAUGAGGUGGCAGAGGUGGUGUUAAGUAAUUAGGAGUUGCUCUUUUCAUUUGCACAUCUUCCAGCUCCAGCGAUGAUGAUACCCCCAAUACUAAGCAUUAGGAGAAAGUCUUUGAGGGUCUUGCUCCAAGUGAAUACAGGUGGAGAAGAAUGUUUUGAACAAAUAUACCUUAAAAGGAAACUAAUCCUUGGAGAACCAUUCAUGGUCUGUCUACUAUUAAGGUAUUUCAAGCGAACUAUUAAGGUAUUUCAAGCGAACACUGUUUGCUGCAGCCAAAUCAGAAGUUUCUGGUGCUGCAUAUUCAUCAUGAAGUCUCUUAGUUUUCAACUUUAAGCUUCAAAUGAUAUUGCCUCAAGUCAAUUACCAGCUCUUUGAAAGUGAAUUUGCCUGUAUAUUGGUUCUGGUAGCCAUCUCUCCUGGUAACCCCGAACUGCCAGAUGCUUACAAGAUCUAAAGUGAUAAAUAAUGAAGAAAGCUUAGCACAACUGUACAUAAGCCAUCAUGUAUUGUCAGUGUGCGAUAAAUGCAUGUUGUGAACAUCUGAAUUGCUUAUAAGCUAUUUGGAAUUUACGUCGUCUCAAGUCAUUUGUAGAUGGCCAAAUUUUUUACCGAGUGAAUAAC